GUUUGAAAUGCGAGCGAGCUUGCUUAUAUUUCUAUUUCAGGAUGGUAACUGACAUUCCUGGUACAACUGAUGCUUCCUUUGGUGAGUUUGUAUUGUAGCUAGUUUCAGGCAACACCGGAAACAUACAGCUUAAUUAAAAUAAAGAUUACUUAAAAGGGUUUUGAUUAAUCCAAACUGCAGGAAGAGAAGUUGUGAGCUAUGAGACUCCAAAACCAGUUGUGGGUCUUCAUCGAUACGUGUUCAUCUUGUUUAAGCAGAAAGGAAGACAAACGGUAAAGCCACCGGCAUCAAGAGACUAUUUCAACACCAGGAGGUUCUUAGAAGAGAACGGAUUGGGCCCGCCGUUGGCUGCAGUGUAUUUCAAUGCACAGAGAGAAACUGCUACAAGAAGAAGAUGAUCCUGAACAUCUUUUCCAGAUUUCCUUUCUUUCAUGAGAAUAAAGAUAGUUGUUGAUU
rnacentral:misc_RNA from 1 species